GAUGAACGCUGGCGGCGUGCCUAAUACAUGCAAGUCGAGCGAACGGACGAGAAGCUUGCUGCUCUGAUGUUAGCGGCGGACGGGUGAGUAACACGUGGAUAACCUACCUAUAAGACUGGGAUAACUUCGGGAAACCGGAGCUAAUACCGGAUGAUAUUUUGAACCGCAUGGUUCAAAAGUGAAAGACGGUCUUGCUGUCACUUAUAGAUGGAUCCGCGCUGCAUUAGCUAGUUGGUAAGGUAACGGCUUACCAAGGCAACGAUGCAUAGCCGACCUGAGAGGGUGAUCGGCCACACUGGAACUGAGACACGGUCCAGACUCCUACGGGAGGCAGCAGUAGGGAAUCUUCCGCGAUGGGCGAAAGCCUGACGGAGCAACGCCGCGUGAGUGAUGAAGGUCUUCGGAUCGUAAAACUCUGUUAUUAGGGAAGAACAUAUGUGUAAGUAACUGUGCACAUCUUGACGGUACCUAAUCAGAAAGCCACGGCUAACUACGUG
rnacentral:rRNA from 1 species